rnacentral:rRNA from 1 species
ACCCAGGACGGGUGGGAGAUGCAGAAGCCGCCGCCGUGGAGCUGCACGAUGACGGGGAGGCGCCCGGCGUUGCCCGCGUCGACCUCGGGGAGGUACACCCGGAGGUUGGGCUCCCCGGGGAGGUCGUGGAGCGUGUGGCCGUCGCGGGGCACAUCGUAGGGCUGCACCGGCUGCAUGAGGGGCAGGGCCUCCGGCGGGCCCGUCCACGUGCGGUCGAUACUGCCGUCGUCCAUCACGCGCAGCCAGCCGGAGACCUCGUCCACCACCUUACGGCCGCUCGUCGGCGCCACGGUGGUGGUCGCCUGGUGCUGCGAUGCGGCGGCGGGGGCCAUCGGUCGUCGCUGGGGUGUAUGUUAG